AAACCAUUGAUAAUAGCUGAAUAAAUUUCCAAAAAUUAAUGAAAACAUCUUAGUUAAUUACUCUGACAAGUACCU